CCUCAGGGAGCUGCUCUCCCGGGCAGCUCUCCGCCUCCCCUUGGGCCACCCUUAGCACUUAGCCAGGGGUGACUGACUGCGGUGAAACCGUUUCUCCACGGUUGUCUCAUUUUUUAAUUUAUUUUUUUUUAACGAAGAUACUGCACGUACACACCUCAUGAAAUGUUUCCCACUUGCACAGAGGCGUCGAUUCUUGACCUUUCCUCCCCACCACCAGCAAAGUGCGAGGAGAGGGAAAGCUGAGCUACUUACGUUUGAAGCAGCUUGGGCCUGAUGAGGAAGAGGACCUUCUUGAAAGAAAAUCAGCAGAUGAAACCUGGAUACUUCGUCCUUCCCCAUGAGACCUGGAGGGCUCUUGCAUUCGUAAAUUGUUGUUACGAGCAAGGAAAAAAAAUCAUAAAACUGACACCAAAACAGAGAGAAAAGUGAAAAAAUCAGUGGAGAAUGGAUAAGCUGAGAAAUGUGAUUUUUCAGCUAGGAUUAAUGAUGCACCUAUUCAACAGAAGGAUUUGGCCUAAAGUCAGAAAGAUGAGAUAAACAGGAUAACGAUUAAAACACAAAAACAUAUGGUAUCACCAACUGCGUGAAGAUCAACAUCAGAUUAAAUCCCAUUCAGUAAGCAGUGUUUAUGCAUCUCUCAGCCAGACAGGAUGUUCUACUGACGUUUCAGACCGGGCUCCAGCUGAGACGUAUGAAGUACAGGGACUGUACCUCGCUGCUGAAGCAAUCAUCGAUUUGUUGUGGUUGUGUCCAACCUCGAUCUCCUGCAUUUCAAAGACGCGCUGACGCAGAUAGACCCAGUGUUCCUAAGUCUGGAUUUCUCCAACAAAUUGCCAGGUGAGCCUUUCUGCUCAGCCCUGAAGAGGUGAGCACCUGGGACACAAACAGAAACCCCUCACUCAUCAACUACAGAGUGUACUUGAGUUGAGCAGCUGUUUGCCUUUCCGUGCUACAAUAUCCUAGAAGCCCCAAGGUAUCUCAGGUAUGUUCAGAGAAGAAAGA